UAAUGGACGAUAAGCAGUAAGGCAAUAAAUAAAUGAUAAAAUUUGGUAUGUCAACCGAACAUUAAAAAGACUUAUGAAGAAUUUAAUAUGAAGUCCAUCGUUCUGCCAAAAAAAAAAUUAAUUAGAAAUCGUUAGGUAUGAAAUAAAGAUCCAGAAUAAUUUUUAAAAUGCAUCUAUACUAAAACGAAAUUAUAUUAAACGGAAUUAUUCCAGAGAAUAGAGAAAUGGUUCUCUUCAAAAAUGAGUUUAUUUCUUUUUACGGUGUUUUAAUUAUCUGCGUUACACAUGUUUAAUGUUUAUUUUAAAUGCAAAUCGUGAUAGAUGAGACGGAUAUAUCUAUUAUCUAAAUCUAUUCAUUAUUAUUCUAUCCAUUAUCUAUUCAUUAUUAUGAAGUAAAUACGGAAGCAACAUAAUCAAGAAACG